UAUCAGAAUUACUUACCUUCGCACGUUUGCAGUAAUUUUUGUGGUGUUUGUGUUCGAAACGUAGUCGCACAUCAAGAAAAAAUAAUAAUACCGCACAGCACUGCAUGAAUAAAAGAUGCAAUAUACAUAGACGAAAACUUGCGAUACCUAUUUUGCUGUAAACUGUGUAUGUAGUACUAUAUUGUACUUGCACUUUUGGGGAUUUAUAUUAUGGUAUGUAGUAAGGGCAACUCGCGUCGAACUGCUACAGCCUCGGCCCUCGGCGAAAGCUUAGAGGAUAAUUCUGUGACUGAAAUUUUUAAGAGUCCUUCAUUCUUACACCUUCAGUUUUUAUUAUUUUGUGCAUCCUCAUCUUUUUUCCGCAUCACCGGAAAUAACCGUAUGACAUCAAAUGCCGGAAGAAAAGUAUAUAUCAGAACAGCAAGAAGCCGAAAUCAAACCAUUAAUGCAUGCUCCCAUGUCCCAGAACAAAGCACAUACGUUAAAGCAAAUUCUGUCUCAACGCCACUAUGUGUUUGAUUCACCAAAAGACGACGUCGUGCCUGAAAUGGGGCUUGUUCAGAGCUGUUUUCCCUGGACGAGGAUGACAAAGUCGAAUGAUCGGCGGUCAGAAUUUGAUCCUGAUUUCAACAUUGGGACUCCAAAAAGCCGCUUUGCUAUGUGCAGCAUGCGCAACUGGCAAACCGUUUCCGAAAGGAAAUGGAAAGCAGUUUGUUGCUUCUGUUGUUCUUCGCAACCACCCCCAUAUUAGCAUUUUCAGUUCUUACCGGCCACGGAGAUUCGUUAAUUGAGUCUGUUACGCAAAUUGUUUCGAAUCCGAACGAUGAUCAGGAAUCAUGCAAAAGCACAGAAUGCUGGACACUUUGAAAACGUUUUCUUCUUCAGUUCCCGCCGGCCUUCAUUAAUGUUUUCGUGGAUAUUUAACAUGUUUUAAAAUAGCAUAAAUUUUGAUUUUGCAUCGUUAAUUCAACUGAUGAUUUGCAAUCAUGUAUUCAAAUUAUGGCCUCAA